rnacentral:misc_RNA from 1 species
GAUGAAGAACGUAGCGAAAUGCGAUAAGUAAUGUGAAUUGCAGAAUUCAGUGAAUCAUCGAAUCUUUGAACGCACCUUGCGCCCCUUGGUUAUUCCAAAGGGCAUGCCUGUUUGAGCAUCAUGAACACCUCAACUCUUGUGGUUUCCCACAAUGAGCUUGGACUGUGGAGGUUUUGUUGGCCCUGUGGUCAGCUCCUCUCAAAUGGAUCAGCUUACCGGUGUUUGGUGGCAUUACGGGUGUGAUAACUAUCUACGCUCGUGGUCGUCUCCAAAUAACCUCCAGUGAUGGAGGUUCGCUGGAGCUUAUAAAUGUCUCUCCCCAGUGAAGACAGCCUUUGAACGUUCGAUCUCAAAUCAGGUAGGACUACCCGCUGAACUUAAGCAUAUCAAUAAGCGGAGGA